CUCGCAUUUAUCUCCUGACGUCUCAACCGCGGCACCGUUACUGUGUCCGUCUCGCUUUCUCCGCCUGGCUCCUAAAUAAAGGCGCCUUGGAGUCCAAACUGUCUCGGAAUCCUUUCUGAGCGAUACGAAAUAACCCCUCCCAGCCCUGCUUUUCGCUCCUAAGUUGUCAAACUCUUUGUUGCUCUGCCCUGCUGCCCGCGCGUACCGCAGCGUUCGGCACUCGGGAGCCGGCGGCGGUGCGGGUGCAGCCGGGGGCGUGCAGCCCUCCUUUGUGCCGGCGAACACCGCCUCGUUGCUCAGCCGAGGGGAAGGCAGAGCGCCGCUUCCAGUACUCGCAUGCGGUUUUUCCCGCAGCGUGCGUGGCUGCGGUCGGGUCGUUGCCGUGUCUUUUCAUUUGGACAGCUCAGAUCUUCUUAACGAAAGCGGGAACGGUGCACCUAACCCACGGACUCGUGUGGGUCUUGUGAUCGAGCUGGGAAAAGAUCAGCCCCGUUUCCAGGGAUUACCGCGUCGAAGGCUGGGAGGUGGGACAGGCGCUGCCUCCGGCUCCCGUGCAGCCCCCCAUAUUUCCCCAGCCCGAUGCGUGUGGUUAUUUCCUCGGCACAGCAGCUGCUGACCCCGGGUUGCAAUGUGGCAGAGCCCAGGGAGGCUGAGCCCCCACCGGGGAGGCGAGCGGCCCUGCCCUGCUGUAGGGGCAGCAGGGGGAGGCUGUGAUCUGGUGACGUCAGGGAGAAGAACGAGACGUUGUGUUUUCAGGACCUAAAAAUGACGUUUUGCUGUCGGGUGGUCUCUCAUCAUUUUCAGCCUGCAAAGUUAUUGUCGGUAACGUUGGCCUUCCCCUCCAGCAGUUAUCUGUGCUGUGAUUGUUGAGGGCAGGUGCGUGGUCUGGGGAAGAGCUUAGGCAGGGAAAAGCAUGUUGGCUUUCAUUAAAUGGGGAAAAAGAUGUAUUUUGGUACCUAUAGCUUAGAUUAUCUUGCAGCAAGAGCGCAGCAGUGGCCAUUGCUGUCUGUGUGCUUCUUAAGAGCAAGCAAUGGGCACGUGAGAAGACAGACCGAUGAUGUAUGCUGUUCUGUUUCAUUCAGCUUUUGGCAAAGACGUUGGCCGUGGCUGAGUGAAUGCAAGCACUGAGUUUUACAAACCCCUGAUUGCCUCAGUAUGCCUCUAGAAUGGGAAAUCAGAAGGAAAAGAUUGCACAAAUGGUAGAACGGCUCGAGUUGGAAGGAAUGGAACAGCACAAAGCGUGACAUUCCGUGCUAUGCUCACUGCUGGCAGGUCUGGGAGCUCAGCUUGCCAUCACCCCUUGUGUUGUGAACUGCCCCUUUGCUUCCCAUGGAGCAAAAAUAAAAUAGGAGAGCAAACAAAAUCCUGUCUUUCCGUGUUGGCCAACAGCAUUCUCUCUUUCAAGCAGACAAAACUGGACAAAUUAAAGUGACUCACAGAUGAAUCUCAGAGGAUGCUUUUUCCUACAAACGUGCCUUUGUGGCUGCAGUGAAGUUGUUGGAGUGCCGGGCCUCUGUUUGUCCACUAAUUGCAAUGUGGAUUUGCUGUUGUGUGCAUCCCUGAAGCUCCUGCAGAAGGAGGGGAGCGUGGCUCAGCCUGCUCUCAUGUGCCAGUGUGAUGGAGGCCUGCCUUUACACUUGGCAGAUGGCAAUUCUCUGCUGGUUUCUCCAUCCUGAAUUUGUUUAUCCGAGCGCAGAAAGCUCUUUACUGAACUCUUUAAUCGGCACGCUGUCUUUUUUCUUUCAUGUUUUCUCAUCUAUUUGACUUCCCUCCUCUCCAAAGGGGACCUUGGGCUCUGCCUGCUUCUGUCUUUGGACAGGGGCAGCAGGUUGAGAAGUUCUAAAGCCUGUUUUCCCCCCGUGAAAAAUGUACAGGUAGGCGAGGGUGGCUGGCAGGAUGAGAAAGGGGAAGGCGUUCUGCAUUGGUGGCUUUUUCUUUUGACCACUUGAUGCAUGGCACAGGAUCACGUGCUGCCAGCUGGUGAGUCAUGGGAGGAAGGGGGCAGAGCAGCCAUGGUCAGCCGGAACGUAGGAAUGGGUUGUGUCACUGGGAUGGGGAUCAUCCAGCAGUGGCUUAGCUGGGAAAACAAUUCUGCAAGUGACCUUUGUUGAGACCUCUGGAACGAGACCUUUGGGAGAUGCCUGAGCUGCCUGUUUGCUGGCCGCCUGUGACACCUUGCGAUAAACAGACGUGUCCUUUAGACCCUCUGUUUGCUUAGCAGUGUGUUACAACAGCGCUGAGCUGCUCCUUGCUGAGCUUGUGGUUUUCCCUGUGAGGGCGUCGGGGUGGUGGUGGUUCAGGCUGUGCUGACCCAGGGCAGGAAGGGGCAGAGCGUGGAGCGUGGGGCUGUGGGAUGUGUUGGGUGAUGGGCAGCAGGCCUCGAGGACCCCAGUGACUGGUGUGCAUUACAUUUCUGUAGGUUCACAAGGCAGCAAAUGAGCUCUAAUUCUCACAGCAGGUGUGUGUGUGUGAAGCCUGCUCGUGUUCUUUGUGUAUGUAGGGAUGCUUGCCUUCAUCGAGUGACGUGCUAUAAGUGAAUAACUGCAGGACAAAUGGGUCUUGCCCCUUUACUUCUAGUUCCCAAACUGGUUCAGGUUACUCCAUCAGCCUCCAAACCCCACCUCAGGUUAUUUGGUGCUGUGUUGCCCUUGAGAUCCCUCCUUGGGAGAAGGCAAUCACUCGUGUUUCCUAAUCUGGUCCGUCACCCUGUCUUCAGCUUUUAGAAUACGUGUGUGUUCCUGUACUGCUGUAUAACAGUGAUAGAUCCCCGAGGCUUCUUUAUCUCUGUUUGCCUUGACAAGCUCCUUUCUCUGUCACGCCACAGGUUUUCUAACAAACCUCGAGCAUCCUACCAACCUGGAAGCCUUUUUCUGAAAGAGUACGUUCUAAAAUACGGUUGGAAUAACAACAGCAGAUUAGUAAUACAACAAGCUUUAGAUGAAGGGGUCAAUAAAUGAGAACAUGUGUUUCUUUUGCUAGCAGAAAUAUGUGUAAUAGCAUUACCAACACGUCCCAUAGCUUUGUGUGUCAGUCUGGAGGAAUCAAAGGACUUUAAUUGCUUUUGUUUUCAAGCAAGCGUAUCAAAACGUAAUUUUUAUUUGAUUCUGACUGCAUUCUUUGUUCUGCCCCUCCAGGCUUUAAAAGAGAUGCUGUAUGCAGCCGUGGACCAGGCCCCUUCUAUAGAAGGUAAGCACGUGCUCGCUGAGAAUUGUGUUUUUCUUGGCAUUGGAUACUGGACGUGCAGUAGUGUUAUUUUUCUGUCCUCAGUCCUCCUAAAUUGGUCAAGUCAAUACACUGAUGGGCAAACGCUCGGCCUUCCGCAGCCUGCGUGCUAUUUGGGAUUGUUGGAACUCUUUGUCCUCUGUCAUCAGCACAGUAAAUGGCUUUGUAUAGCUUGGGACUUCAGCAGCUGGAUUCCUCUCGCUUAUAAGGACAUUCACUGGUGGAAGUACUACUUCAUCACUGGAGAAUAGCCUCUUGUUUUCCUAUGGCAGCCCUGGGAGAUAGCUGUGCUGGAGAGUCACCGGUUGGUGAGCAGUGAUGUGAGGCUCUCAUCCUUUUGUCCUGGGUGCUCCCUGAGUGCUGUGCCACCUCUUGGAUGCUGAUAUGAGUAUAUUUUCUUGUUUUCAUAUGUUUAUUGCCACUGCAUUCUCUAGGUAGGUUAUUUUAGCACAGCAUUUGCUUUUAAGCUCGCUGCGUUUUGAGUAGCCUUAUGUGAUGUGUGCAAAAGUUCUCAGUAGAACCCUGUAUCUUUCUCUCUCUCCUUUAGUUGUCUUGGAGGUACUGAAUAGUUUUUGCCUUGAUCUUGCUUUGGUCCUUUGUGUGGAUUUCAAACUCCGUGCUUCUAGCAGUUCGAUUGCAGAGAAUUGUCAGUGUCACUGAUCUCUCUGAAUGCAGCUCUUAGAUUCUUCCUUGUGUGUGUGCAGAGCAGAACUGCUGCUUCUAGGGCAGUCUGCUGGCUGGUGUCAGUAAUGCCAGCCAUCAUUAAUGCUAGUUCAUUAGCAACUCACACCCUCUUCUCCAAACUGUGGGUCCUAGAAGUGCAUUUCUACAGGUGAGUGGCCACGCUCCUGGCAUCACCUAAAAUUGAUGGGCUGCUUUUGGGAAAUGGAAUCAAGCUUGGAAGCAAUAUACUGGCAAAAGAGGAAAGUCCUGCUUCUUAGAGAUGCAAAAACUGCUUUAAAACCCCCACAGGCCUGGAGGAUCCUUCUCCCAGAUAGCAGUUUUCUCUCCCAAGAAGCAGUUUUCUGUCUUAGAGGAACCACAGUGUUUUGUAUGGGCUGCACAGAUGAUCUUUACUAACUUGUCUUUAGAGGUAAUUAGCUGGUUUUUUUUGAGAAAAUGUGUUUCCUUUGUCUUAACACCAGUGCGUGACUUAAGGUUUGUCUUAAAAUGGAUGGGGCUGCAGAUCCUUUGCAUUUUAGUUCCUCAGUUUUGUUUUGGGAAGGUGUAAGGACGACACUAUGAGAAGCUGGCCAUAAAACUCCUGAGUGGUAUUCUGCAUUUUGGCUGCUUUUUUUUUUUCCUGUGCUCAUUGUGAUAUAGUGAUGUUCUGUAUGUGCUGCAAUGUUUACGUGUAAACAUACUUAGGAAAGGAAGGGAAAGUGAAGAAUGAAAUGGUAUAAUAUAAUAUUAAUGUUGCUCUUUUGAAUGUUAAAAGAACGUAAACUUGUGUUUCUGCCUCCUUUGAUGCCUUUGAAACCUCAUCAAAAAGGGAAGUAAUGACUUAAGGUUGUGCUAGCUACAAAAAGCAUCUUCUUGUUAUUUGGAGAGCAAGUCUCUCCCUCUGUGUUGCAGAGAACAAAGCGAUGCAAACUGUUUGGAACUGCUCAGAUUUGUCACUCUUUUGCCCAAACUGCCUCUAAGAAGAGAGCAGCUGUGCUAAUUCCUGCACCGCUUGUUAGUUCAGUGCUAUGUGAGCGUGUGCUGGGUUUCUUUCUUAAUUAGUUUGUUUCCAGUAUGUUAUUUCCCUCCUGGUUUUUUUGUUUUGUUUUGUUUUGUUUCCUCUGCUGUGAAUCUGUUUUGCUCAUUCUCCAGCUCUCUGAAAUGCAUGUGUGGCUUUGAGCUUAGCACAGGAACACCAGGAGGGUGCUGUAAGCCCCAUCUUCCCAGGGUGAGGCUGGUGUAAAUCUCGUUUUAGGCUGGUUUAACUAAAAGCCACUUGAUGUAGGUGAUGCCAGGCGCUGCAGCCGUGUUCAGCUGGGCUUUGGCUUGCCUUAAGGUACACUGGAGCUAAUCUUCAGCUAGUAGCUGGGCUGUGAAAUAAAGGGAGGUCUGUCUCUUGGCUGGCUCUGGGCUCGUGUUAAGGAAUCUGCUUACGGUUGGCACGUGGGUAAACAAAGCUGGCUUCAAAAUGACUCAUAAGCUGUGCAAACGGUGCUGCUGCUGCUAUUUUAGGGAGAAAAGUUUGCUAGGGGGAUGAUUGUGGAUGUAAGUUGUGGGGUCGCCUACCAGCACGUUUACCUGCUCUACUGGUGACCAUAGAAUCCUUAGAGCUGGAAGGCACCUCUGAGGGCCAUCCAGUGCAGCUCCCCUGCAGUGAGCACUGAGCAGAUGUGCUGGCAUCUCCCCCAGCUCCUCAGGGUUCAGCUCUUUGCAGCCAUAGAGGAGAUGGAAGCCUGGCUGUGAAUUAUUCAUCCUGAUUAUGCGCUCCAAUGGACAUGGUCUACUCUGAAUAUUAUUGCCUAGAAUAUUAGUCUUUCAGAUAUUGAAAUUUAACCUCCCUUUAAGACUUGUGUAAACAGAUCUUGUUGUUGUCGCAUUAAAUGGCACAAAAGCAGUAUCCUCCUCUUACGGAGAUGACUUAUUCCACUUGACCCCCAGCUGCAUUCCAGUGGUAGGCUGGAACAAGGAUUAGACCGAGUGGGGAGUAGGAAUGCUUCAAGACUGAACUCAAAACCAAAAUUAAUAGGUGACUUUCAUUACAGCUUGAUUGACAGGGGAAAAGCUUAGCAGCAGUGCUGGUGCUUGCGCUGUGCAAAUUCACCUCUUUGCUUGUUCCAGAUGAGAGGUGUGAGAUUGGGACCUUCUCAGCAUGCCCUGCUUGGUGAUAUAAACUUACUUCAUAGCAGGCUGGCGGUGCCAGAGCACAGAGCGCUCAGGCUGUGGUGCAGAUCUGCCUUGGCUGAACUGGUCCGCUCAGGUUCUUGCUCCCAGGUGCUUGUUUCCACAGCUGGGCUAAUGAAAGGGCUGUGCACAGCUUGGGAGGCAGCAUGAAGGCUGGGUUGGGCACUGCACACCAGCUCCAAGGAAAGGGCUGCACCUGAAGGCAGGUUUCUUUUGCAGGUCUGCAAGCUGCUUAUCAGGCUGGCUGUGCAAAGGCUGUAAAUCCCUCCUUAAUGGCAAGGGGUGACAGCAACAUCAGAAAUGCUUUUUUUUCCCUCCCUUCCUGCUCUUGCUUUCUGAUAAUAUAAAAAGGCCAGUGCGUCAAUUUAACUGGUAGGUACUAGGUUUCAUGUUGGUGGUUAAAACGCGAGGGCUGGGAAAUAGAAAAGGAGUUCAUAAAGCUGGAAGAUGGACAGCCAGCUGUGCUCGCAGUGCAGCAGAACAUCAAACAGUGCUUUGGGUGUAGCCUAGAGAAACACCACACGUGUGCGGAUAGGAGGUCAGAAUUUAUUGUUGGGCUUUGGAAAAGGCUGCAGCAGGAGGAGUAACAGCAAGAUUUACAGUGUGUGUAGGAGGCAGCCUCGGGGUUUGUAGCCAUUGCAUUCGAAACAAGCGAUUAGGCUUUGGGAUGAGGCUGUGGCUAUUUGGUGAAUAAUGCCAUGUGAAUUAAACCCGAUGAGUUUCUGUCUCUUUAAAAAGGCACGCUGUGAGCAGGCUCUCCCUGGAAGGAAAUCUCAUUCUUCUGCAUCAGAAUCACUUGUAAGAUGCUUCAGAACGAUGGUCAGGGCCUGCCAGGAGCUUCAGCAUCCCUGCGAUGCCAUGUAGGAGGAGCAGGGGCUGCCAGUACAGCUCCUCUGCUUUGUUACCUAGGCUGAAGAAUGCCUGGAGGUCUGUAGCUGUAAGGCAGCAGUGAGGCAGAGCUGUGUACGUUCAGCUAAAAGCUGCAGAGAACACUGAGAAUGCACCAAUCCGCUGGCAUGCACGGUGGGUGCUGUGUGCAGGAGCGUGAGCAGCAGCACAGCCCAUCCUGCAGCUCCAGCCCCGGGCUGUGCGCUGCCCUUGCUGCAGAGGAGAGAGCCUUGUUUAUCUCCUAGGAGAUGGAAAAGCAAUUUCUACUUCCUGAUGAGAAGCUGACAGGCUAUUUGACUUAACAAGAGGGGCCGCCGGUGUGAUUGGGAAGAGGAAAAUUGCAUGCCAUAACAUAGUGAUAGAAAUGCAAUUUAUUUUGCAUGUGCUAUAUAGCUUCAGGCACGCAUUUUGGAGGGGUGAGAAUUCUACACGUGCUGAAAUGCCAGUUCUAAAUAGCAGCAAGAAGUGAAUUUGGCUUCCAGGCUGUGUCUGCAAUCUUGGUCUUAUUGCUCCCGCUGUUGAUUAGCGUGCUUUUAUAAACACUGCCAAUGUGAUUAGCGUGCCUUUAUAAACAUUCCCAAGGUGUGUGUGGGGUGAGGGAACCUGGAGCCCUCUGGCGAGCCGAGUGAGCGAGCUGUGACCUCAGGACUGCCUUGUCCCAUGGCUGCAGGCGUGCCCUGAUGUGUGGCCAGGAUGGCUGUCCUGGUGCCACCACUGCCCAUCCGUGUCCCCAUGCUGAGCCCAGGUGUGCUUCUGAACGGCUGCUCCCUGUGAGCACAGCUGUAGCAGUGACUCACAGGCAAGGCAGCUGAGUGGGGUAAUAAUGAGCAGGAUUGGCUGAUACACCUAUAAAGCAAAUUCUAUAAAUAGCUGAAAGGGAUUGGGCCAAUACUGCUGUGUUUUGGUGUGACUUUGGCUUCCAUCAUCAGCGAUAGCAGUGAAAAGGCAAGGAAGUAACCAAUCUGAGAACCCCAUAUGGCAUUCUGCCUUUCUUGGAGCCUUGCUCAUGCCAGAUUUCCUUGAACUCCACGGCAAUCCAAGACAAAGGUUUCAUUUCCCCCCACCCAGUUACAGGGUAAUGCAUUUCUCUGUUAGCAGCUGGGUCAGGACUUGGUUCUGCACUGACCUUGAUGAGCACAGGUGCAAGAAAAUGUUUCUUGGAGGCUGUGUGUCCUUUUAAAGCCUUUAAGAGGCUGUAAUUAAUGGAGUUGCCUAGAGACAAGAAGGCUUCCCGGGGAGGAGAAAGGAGACCUUCCCAGGGAGGAUAAAGAAGGAGCAUCUUUUGGCUGAGCUGGAGGUUAGAUGCUAAAAUAUGGAGCCGGAAGAAAGCAAAGCAGGAUGCCAAGCUUGAAGCAUUUGCCACACCUGAUGGGAUGCAUCUGCUGUAAUAAUCCUGGUUGCAGGACAACUGCUCUUUCUGAUGUCACCUUGGUGAAGCCCCAGAAGGCGUGAAGCAGCAGGAGGGAUGGCGAGGGGUCCCGCGUCCCUCUGCCUGUGCGUAGCUGUCUGCUCUGAGCCAUUCUGUGAGCAGACCUUGCCAGGCUGCUUCGGGGUCUGCUUUGUGGCCACGCGCGGCCCUGUUUUUCCCCAGCCUGCUGCCUUUGGCCCUGGAGCUCCCGACCUCUGAAGGCAGAAGUUGUGUUUGCUGCUGUCGGCGUUCAGUAAGGCUUGAGCUGGAGUCCCAAAGGCUCCAGGGGCACCGAGUGUCUCCAGUUUUAGAAAUCCGGCUGCAGCUCAGUCAGAAUUGAUCCGUGCUGAUUUCCCUUUCGGUUCCUCCUGCUCGCAGCUGGCUCCUGCGGGUUUUGUUCCGCCUUUGUUCCCAGCUGAUGGAGCUGGUUGGUGCACGCUCAUGCUAAUGGAGCCGCUCGCCUUCCGGCUGGGGAGGAAUUCAGCGUUGGGAGGUGUGUGAUCUGGGCUUGGACUUGCCUAAGCACAAAUUCGAGUAAUGAAUUAGUCAUCAGCCAUGGAUUUCAUGGCCCUGGGGACACGGAUCCUGCGGCUGGUGCAGCCCAGCUGUCAGUCAGGAGCUGCUGAUGCAGGAACUUCUCGCAGCCUGAGAAGGUUCCCCCAGCCCUGCUAAUAUGGGGAAGGGAGGUUGCCAGAGCCUCGAGCUGGUAUUUCAGUAGCAGCGUGCCUGCUUUACAGCGUGUCCUUCAAGGCUUCGGCCUCUUCACCUAACUCAAAUAAAAGUAUGCCUUAACAGGGUAAUUAGAAACCUAAGGCAGCACACCCAAAUUACAGUAGUUCUGCCAUCUUCUGCAUGCAAGGUAAUUUUACCUGUUUUGUGGUAAGCAGGACAUGGCAGGGGAUACUCCAUCCUCCAUCAGUUUCAGUAGUGAUCCCAUGGUUACUGAGGUAUAGGGGUGAUGUGGAGCGGGUCUGGGAAGAGAUGCUUCUACUCCUCUUUCUUGUCCUUGCCCACCACCUUGUUUUUUUCCCCCUUUUUGUUAGCAUUGCACUGUGGCGUGUGCCUUGUGGUGGCUGGCCUCAAGCAUGAUGAUUAUUCUGAGAGGUAUGCAAGCUUUAUUUACCAAGAAAUUAUGAGUUUGUGUGCUUUUUGUACAUAGCUGGAGCAGUCUCUCUGGGGACAAUUAGGCUAAUGUCGAUUUAUGCGUUUUCCCAUCAUAACU